rnacentral:rRNA from 1 species
UACGUAGGGUGCGAGCGUUGUCCGGAAUUAUUGGGCGUAAAGAGCUUGUAGGUGGUUUGUCGCGUCUGCUGUGAAAAUCCGAGGCUCAACCUCGGACUUGCAGUGGGUACGGGCAGACUAGAGUGUGGUAGGGAGACUGGAAUUCUCGGUGUAGCAGUGAAAUGCGUAGAUAUCGAGAGGAACACCAGUGGCGAAGGCGAGUCCCUGGACGACUUCCUGACACUGGAGGCAACGAAAGCUAGGGGAGCAAACAGG